CGCCUGCCCUGUGACAAAAGUUCAACGGCCGCGGUAUUUUGACCGUGCAAAGGUAGCGCAAUCACUUGUCUUUUAAAUGAAGACCUGUAUGAAUGGCAUGACGAGGGCUUAACUGUCUCCUUUUUCCAGUCAAUAAAAUUGAUCUUCCCGUGCAGAAGCGGGAAUAUAACCAUAAGACGAGAAGACCCUAUGGAGCUUUAGACACAAGGCAGAUCUUGUCAAACACUUCAAAAUAAAGAAACAAACUAAAAGAACCCUGCCCUACUGUCUUCGGUUGGGGCGACCACGGGGAGAUAAAUAACCCCCACGCGGACUGAGAAAACAGUUCUCACAACCAAGAGCGACAGCUCUAAUCAACAGAAAAUCUGACCUCAAGAUCCGGCAACGCCGAUCAACGAACCAAGUUACCCUAGGGAUAACAGCGCAAUCCCCUUUUAGAGUCCAUAUCGACAAGGGGGUUUACGACCUCGAUGUUGGAUCAGGACAUCCUAAUGGUGCAGCAGCUAUUAAGGGUUCGUUUGUUCAACGAUUAAAGUCCU
rnacentral:rRNA from 1 species